UACAGAGGGUGCGAGCGUUGUCCGGAAUCACUGGGCGUAAAGGGCGCGUAGGCGGCCUGAUAAGUAGGGGGUGAAAUCCUGUGGCUUAACUGCAGGGCUGCCUCCUAGACUGUUAGGCUCGAGCACGGUAGAGGCAGAUGGAAUUCCCGGUGUAGCGGUGGAAUGCGUAGAGAUCGGGAAGAACAUCGGUGGCGAAGGCGGCGACCUGGUCCGAUACUGACGCUGAGGCGCGAAAGCGUGGGGAGCAAACAGG
rnacentral:rRNA from 1 species